rnacentral:lncRNA from 1 species
GGCGCUGGAGCUGGGUCAGUCCGCCGCUCACCCCGCGGCCGCAACUUCCCGCCUUCUCAGGUAACUAAGUGCGGGUCUCGGGCCUGGCAGAAGCUUCUUCGGCCCCGUGCCCUCGCCUGGCCCCGCCCCGUCGGUUGUGUGCUUGUCUCGUCCUGCCCCCAGGCCCUGCCGGUCCCCACCGUUAGGCCGGCGUCCCUGCCCGGCCCCGCUGCGGGCUGGCGCCAGCUCAGGAGGACGCCCCGAAGCCGAGGCCUCGGAAGCAGGUUUUUCCCAGACCUUCUCCUGUCCCGCGUUCCCCCUAGGCCGGCCGUAGAGACCAGACCCCACCCUAAGCCCAUAGCCGGCCCUCGCGCUCCGGGUGACCCUGGCUGGCCCUGUUUGUCUGUGGGUCCUGGGAUGCGCCACUCCCGGCAGGAAGGGGCGCCGCCGAGGCCCGGUCUCAGCCUGGAACCCCGCUCCUGCCGUCGGGGCGCUUUCUGCGGCUGCCCACACACGACCCCAGGCAAGGGGUGGGGGCGCGGGACCCUCCAUGACAUGGCGGCGGGGCGCUCUCCCUUCUUUGAAACCAGCGUAAACCGGACCCGCCCCACCUCCCAUACCUUGGGGGAGCCCCGGGAAAGGCUGUGGCCUGGGGGUCUGCAGGGCGUUGGCAGUGGAGGUGGGGAGAGACCCCAGCCCUUUCCUGUCCCCCCCACCAGCCUUGCCUUCCUCGCCGUGAGCCGGGGACAGUGGAGGGGAGUCAGGGAGGGCCCGCCAGAUGGACUUUCUUGUGACUCAUCCUAUAAAGCCCCUCGGGCUUAGCCACCCUCCCCAGGACCCGUGUGCUCUCCCGGACUGUGCUGGAAGCUUAGAGCCAGAAUGACUUUUCCACCCUCGGGCUGGCUGGCUCAGUGGGCAGCAGGGACAGGGGGCUGUGAAGAGAAAACUCACUCGCCAGGGUCAGGGGCCGCUUGCUCACUGAGGAAAGCAGAGGGGUUCCUGCCGCUUGCCUCAGGAGCAAAGCUAGUUGGUGAGGCACUGCCUUGCAGUUGUAGGAGAGGAAUAACGGCCCCCGUGGGUGCUUGGUUGGAACGAUUAAAGGAGAAUAACAGUUUAGCACGAUUAUUUCACACAGUUGUUCAAAGAGAUGGCUUUGAAUUCCAGCUUACAUGGCGUCUUCAACAAAAAGUAAUUGUUUAGAGAAGUGACAAGAUGAAGGAGGACUCUGAGUCCUAGUCUCCCUCCUCGAGUCCCUGUGUGAGCAGAGGUAAACAAUGAAAACUCACCAACCAGGAGAAAUUCACCUAGGACUGGCGCAGAAGGAGAAGAGGCUUGACACCACCAGCCACCAGGAAAUGCAGAUUCAGCCACCACGCAGGACACGAGGCACCUGCACCACAGCCGCAGUGCAAGAGAAUGCUGGUGGUGCCCCAAGCUGCCAGGGUGUGGACCUGCUGGAAAUGGAAGACGGCAUGGUGGUUUCCUAUAAAGUUCAAUGUACACAGCCACAUGACCCAGCAAUCCCACUGUUGGGUAUUUAGAGAAUGAAUAACUUAAGUCCACAUAA